rnacentral:lncRNA from 1 species
UGAUUUUAAUUUUGAUUUUAAUUUUGACUUUAAUUUUGAUUUUUAAUUUAAUAAACAAAAAUAAGAAGAACAUGAAGAAUGUAUUGUCAAACAGAAUAUCCGGAUUAUUUGAAGAAGUAAGGAAGUAGAUGGAUGAAUAAAAGUUAGAACAAUGGUAUCUACAGUAUGACGGGGAAAAGAAAGAAGUUGUUGGAUUUGGGUAAGUUGUUUGACAUGGCAUGUUGGAUUAUGGGUAAGUUGUUCGAUAUGGCAUGUUGGAUAUGGGUAAGUUGUUCGAUAUGGAAUGUUGGAUUAUGGGUAAGUUGUUCGACAUGCCAUGCCCAAUUAUUUUUACAUUACGUAAAGUUGUUUGUUUGA